rnacentral:rRNA from 1 species
CUCCUACGGGACGCAGCAGUGGGGAAUAUUGCACAAUGGAGGGAACUCUGAUGCAGCGACGCCGCGUGAGUGAAGAAGUAAUUCGUUAUGUAAAGCUCUAUCAGCAGGGAGGAAAGUGACGGUACCUGAAAAAGAAGCUCCGGCUAAAUACGUGCCAGCAGCCGCGGUAAUACGUAUGGAGCAAGCGUUAUCCGGAUUUACUGGGUGUAAAGGGAGAGUAGGUGGCAGAGCAAGUCCGAAGUGAAAGCCCAAGGCUCAACUAUGGGAAUGCUUUGGAAACUGCUCAGCUAGAGUGCCGGAGGGGC